rnacentral:rRNA from 1 species
UUUAUGGAGAGUUUGAUCCUGGCUCAGGAUGAACGCUGGCGGCGUGCCUAAUACAUGCAAGUCGAGCGAACGGACGAGAAGCUUGCUUCUCUGAUGUUAGCGGCGGACGGGUGAGUAACACGUGGAUAACCUACCUAUAAGACUGGGAUAACUUCGGGAAACCGGAGCUAAUACCGGAUAAUAUUUUGAACCGCAUGGUUCAAAAGUGAAAGACGGUCUUGCUGUCACUUAUAGAUGGAUCCGCGCUGCAUUAGCUAGUUGGUAAGGUAACGGCUUACCAAGGCAACGAUGCAUAGCCGACCUGAGAGGGUGAUCGGCCACACUGGAACUGAGACACGGUCCAGACUCCUACGGGAGGCAGCAGUAGGGAAUCUUCCGCAAUGGGCGAAAGCCUGACGGAGCAACGCCGCGUGAGUGAUGAAGGUCUUCGGAUCGUAAAACUCUGUUAUUAGGGAAGAACAUAUGUGUAAGUAACUGUGCACAUCUUGACGGUACCUAAUCAGAAAGCCACGGCUAACUACGUGCCAGCAGCCGCGGUAAUACGUAGGUGGCAAGCGUUAUCCGGAAUUAUUGGGCGUAAAGCGCGCGUAGGCGGUUUUUUAAGUCUGAUGUGAAAGCCCACGGCUCAACCGUGGAGGGUCAUUGGAAACUGGAAAACUUGAGU